rnacentral:tRNA from 1 species
GCCCCGAUAGGGUAGCCAGGCCAAUCCUGCCGGCUCUCGAGCCAGAGACCCAGGUUCAAAUCCUGGUCGGGGCA